GAUGAACGCUGGCGGCGUGCUUAACACAUGCAAGUCGAACGAUGAAAGCGGGAGCUUGCUCCUGCUGGAUUAGUGGCGAACGGGUGAGUAACACGUGAGUAACCUGCCCUUGACUCUGGGAUAAGCGUUGGAAACGACGUCUAAUACCGGAUACGACCUUCGGAGGCAUCUCCUGGGGGUGGAAAGAAUUUCGGUCAAGGAUGGACUCGCGGCCUAUCAGCUAGUUGGUGAGGUAAUGGCUCACCAAGGCGACGACGGGUAGCCGGCCUGAGAGGGUGACCGGCCACACUGGGACUGAGACACGGCCCAGACUCCUACGGGAGGCAGCAGUGGGGAAUAUUGCACAAUGGGCGAAAGCCUGAUGCAGCAACGCCGCGUGAGGGACGACGGCCUUCGGGUUGUAAACCUCUUUUGGUAGGGAAGAAGCGAAAGUGACGGUACCUGCAGAAAAAGCACCGGCUAACUACGUGCCAGCCGCCGCGGUAAAAC
rnacentral:rRNA from 1 species